AUUGAACGCUGCGGCAGGCUUAACACAUGCAAGUCGAGCGAGCGGCGGACGGGUGAGUAAUGCUUAGGAAUCUGCCUAUUAGUGGGGGACAACAUCCCGAAAGGGAUGCUAAUACCGCAUACUAAUAGUUGAGCCUAAGUCGGGUUUGCUAGUUGGUGGGGUAAAGGCCUACCCAGGCGACGAUCUGUAGCGGGGCUGGGAGGAUGAUCCGCCACACUUGGACUGGGAAACGGGCCAGACGCCUAAGGGAGGCAGCAGUGGGGAAAAUUGGAAAAUGGGGGGAACGCUGAGCCAGCCAUGCUGCGUGGGUGAAGAAGGCCUUAUGGUUGGAAAGCACGUUAAGCGAGGAGGCGUUACUCGCAGAAGAAGCACCGGCUAACUCUGUGCCAGCAGCCGCGGUAAUAC
rnacentral:rRNA from 1 species